AGGGAUUUAGCUGAGUGGCUCAAGCACUUGCCUGGUAAGCAUGAGGUUUUAAGUUCGAUCCCUA
rnacentral:tRNA from 1 species